GAGGGUAUAGCUCAGUGGUGAGAGUACAUGCUUAACAUGCACGAGGCUCUGGGCUCAAUCCCCAGCACCUCCA
rnacentral:tRNA from 1 species